rnacentral:rRNA from 1 species
UACGGAGGGUGCAAGCGUUAUCCGGAUUCACUGGGUUUAAAGGGUGCGUAGGUGGGCUAGUAAGUCCGUGCUGAAAUCUCUGAGCUUAACUCGGAAACUGCCGUGGAUACUAUUAGUCUUGAAUCUCGUGGAGGUAAGCGGAAUAUGUCAUGUAGCGGUGAAAUGCUUAGAUAUGACAUAGAACACCGAUAGCGAAGGCAGCUUGCUACACGAGUAUUGACACUGAGGCACGAAAGCGUGGGGAUCAAACAGG